AUGUUGAGAACCACUGUAGUAGGUGAUACUGUGCAUGUCGAGCUUGUUUGUCCACGCUCAUCCGCAGUUGAGUAUGCACUGAAAGUGGGACGGAACAACUCUUGUUUUAAAGAGUUCACACUCUUUACUCAAUGGACCAAGCAGUGCGACCGACUUGACCGCGCAGGGAGGACUAGCGACAAACUGACAGUGCGGCUCUGAUCAAUUACUACAGCGCAGUGCGAACAUUAUUCUGCUCAUACUGCUUAUGUGUUUUUCCCUGUACGUAAAAUAAUGAAGAUCAGUAUUAAGCUAUUGCAUUUAAUUUGCUUAUUAUCUUUAUCGGGGGGGAUCACGAUGCCGGCUCAACAACGUGAUGUCUGUCAGCCAUCGGCGAUGGACGAUGACAUCUAUCGGCCCAACCCUACUGAGCAUAUUAUGUAAUGAUGCUAUAAUACGUCCUUAUCAAGAUAAAAAAAAAACAUUUUGUCCUUUUUCUUUUUUUACUUAAAUGACAAGUCAUGAGAAAAUAUCCAGGCAAUAUUCCAGUUCUUCCAUGCCAAGCAUAUCCCACCGCAAGACUCUUGUGUAGUGAAGGGAAAAGAUGUGGAAAAACUGACAUAUCCAGUAGCUACAUGAAGGCCACACAUUGAUCCUUAAAGUGGAUGAGUUGUAGCUGCAGCAGACCACACAUUCCUGUUAGCUAAGAAUAGAUGGCAAAGACUACAGUGAGUACAGGCUCAACAAACCCUGACCAUGCAGGGUGAACAUGUUGUUUGAUUCUGGAGCAACAUUUUAAUCAACCGAUCAUUUUUGGGGGACAAGUUUAAAGUUUGUUAAAUGUAGGCUUGCAGUCAGGGUUAGGUGUUUCUACAUCAUUAGCUAUGCUUACAUGGACACUUUUUGCUUCCACCGGAAUGAAUUAAUUCUGAUUGACAAAUCCGAACUUAGUGUUUACAUGAAUGUUAAAUAAAGUGAUCAGGUUGAUAUGCGCGUUUAUAUGUCACAAGCUUUUUUCAGAUUUACUGUUUUGACAUGCUUGCGCACACUGCAUGAAUAUAUAGAGUUUCCCGCUGUUGUCACAUACGGUUUUAUUAAAAAGCACACUUGAUAUUUAUGUACAAACCCGAUUCCAAAAAAGUUGGGACACUGUACAAAUUGUGAAUAAAAACAAUGCAAUGAUGUGGAAGUUUCAAAUUUCAAUAUUUUAUUCAGAAUACAACAUAGAUGACAUAUCAGAUGUUUAAACUGAGAAAAUGUAUCAUUUAAGGGAAAAUAAAUUGAUUUAAAUUUCAUGGCAAUGAUGUGGAAGUUUCAAAUUUCAAUAUUUUAUUCAGAAUACAACAUAGAUGACAUAUCAGAUGUUUAAACUGAGAAAAUGUAUCAUUUUAAGGGAAAAAUAAAUUGAUUUUAAAUUUCAUGGCAUCAACACAUCUCAAAAAAGUUGGGACAAGGCCAUGUUUGCCACUGUGUAAUAUCCCCUCUUCUUUUUAUAACAGUCUGCAAAUGUCUGGGGACUGAGGAGACAAGUUGCUCAAGUUUAGGAAUAGGAAUGUUGUCCCAUUCUUGUGGCUUCUAUACAGGCUUCUAGUUGCUCAACUGUCUUAGGUCUUCUUUGUUACAUCUUCCUCUUUAUGAUGCGCCAAAUGUUUUCUAUGGGUGAAAGAUCUGGACUGCAGGCUGGCCAUUUAAGUACCCGGAUCCUUCUUCUACGCAGCCAUGAUGUUGUAAUUGAUGCAGUAUGUGGUCUGGCAUUGUCAUGUUGGAAAAUACAAGGUCUUCCCUGAAAGAGACGAUGUCUGGAUGGGAGCAUAUGUUGUUCUAGAACUUGGAUAUAUCUUUCAGCAUUGAUGGUGCCUUUCCAGAUGUGUAAGCUGCCCAUGCCACACACACUCAUGCAACCCCAUACCAUCAGAGAUGCAGGCUUCUGAACUGAGCACUGAUAAGAAUUUGGGUUGUCCUUGUCCUCUUUAGUCCGGAUGACAUGGCGUCCCAAUUUUCCAAAAAGAUCUUCAAAUUUUGAUUAAUCUGACCACAGAACAGUUUUCCACUUUGCCACAGUCCAUUUUAAAUGAGCCUUGGCCCAGAGAAAACGCCUGCACUUCUGGAUCAUGUUUAGAUAUGGCUUCUUUUUUGACCUACUGUAUAGAGUUUUAGCCGGAAACGGCAAAUGGCACGGUGGAUUGUGUUCACCGACAAUGUUUUCUGGAAGUAUUCCUGAGCCCAUGUUAUGAUUUCCAUUACAGUAGCAUUCCUGUAUGUGAUGCAGUGCCGUCUAAGGGCCCGAAGAUCACAGGCAUCCAGUAUGGUUUUCCGGCCUUGACCCUUACGCAUAGAGAUUGUUCCAGAUUCUCUGAAUCUUUGGAUGAUAUUAUGCACUGUAGAUCAUGAUAACUUUAAACUCUUUGCAAUUUUUCUCUGAGAAACUGCUUUCUGAUAUUGUUCCACUAUUUUUCGCAGCAGCAUUGGGGGAAUUGGUGAUCCUCUGCCCAUCUUGACUUCUGAGAGACACUGCCAAUCUGAAAGGCUCUUUUUAUACGCAAUCAUGUUGCCAAUUGACCUAAUAAGUUGCAGAUUGGUCCUCCAGCUGUUCCUUAUAUGUACAUUUAACUUUUCCAGCCUCUUAUUGCUACCUGUCCCAACUUUUU
rnacentral:lncRNA from 1 species